rnacentral:rRNA from 1 species
ACUGAAGCCAAUAUUCCUUGUGUCUAUUGCGGUGAUUCAUAAUAACUGAUCGAAUCUCUUUUUGAGAUAAAUCAUUCAAGUUUCUGCCCUAUCAGCUUUCGAUGGUAGUGUAUUGGACUACCAUGGCAGUAACGGGUAACGAAGAAUUAGGGUUCGAUUUCGGAGAGGGAGCAUGAGAAACGGCUACCACAUCUAAGGAAGGCAGCAGGCGCGUAAAUUACCCAAUCCUGACUCAGGGAGGUAGUGACAAGAAAUAGCAAACCGGGAACCUCAUGGUUUCACGGUAUUGCAAUGAGAACAAUUUAAAACCCUUAGCGAGAAUCAAGUGGAGGAUGUCUGGUGCCAGCACCCGCGGUAAUUCCAGCUCCACUAGCGUAUAUUAAAGUUGUUGCAGUUAAAAAGCUCGUAGUUGAACCUCUGUCUGGGGCUAGUUUUGGCUUUGGUCAGGCUAGUUCUAGGCAUCCGCCUACAAGACUUAGAGGGCAUUCAGUUGUUCACUAGGAGGAGUAGGCAUUUUACUUUGAAAAAAUUAGUGUUUAAGGCAGGCAAUCGCCCGCAUAUAUUAGCAUGGAAUAAUAGAAUAGGACACUUUUCCAUUUCGUUGGUUAUUGGUAUCGUGUAAUGAUUAAUAGGGACAGUUGUGGGCAUUUGUAUUUAAUUGUCAGAGGUGAAAUUCUUGGAUUUAUUAAAGACAAACUAACGCGAAAGCAUUUGCCAAGGAUGUUUUCAUAAAUCAAGAACGAAAGUUAGGGGAUCAAAGACGAUCAGAUACCGUCCUAGUCUUAACUAUAAACUAUUCCGACUCAAUGUUUGACUGGCUUAUAUAACCAGUUGAGCGUUGUAUGAGAAAUCAAAGUCUUUAGGUUCUGGGGGGAGUAUGGUUGCAAAGCUGAAACUUAAAGGAAUUGACGGAAGAGCACAACCAGGAGUGGAUUCUGCGGCUUAAUUUGACUCAACACGGGGAAACUUACCAGGUUAAAACAAUAGUGGGAUUGACAGUUUGAGAGCGCUUUCUUGAUUGGUUGGGUGGUGGUGCAUGGCCGUUCUUAGUUGGUGGAGUGAUUUGUCUGCUUAAUUGCGUUAACGAACGAGACCUUAACCUGCUUACUAGACUGGCGAUCAUCAAUCGUUAGCUCUUCUUAGAGGGGCUUUGGUUGUUUUAACUCCAAGGAAGUUUGAGGCAAUAACAGGUCUGUGAUGCCCUUAGAUAUCCUGGGCCGCACGCGUCAUACAAUGACUAGUUCAGAAAGUUUUCUCCUGACCCGAAAGGGGAUGGGUAAUCUUGAUAAUACUAGUCGUGUUAGGGAUCGAUCUUUACAAUUAUAGAUCUUGAACGAGGAAUUCCU